UUAUAGCUCUAGUUCCACAAUAGGGGAUGAAUAACGUAAUUAGGAAAAUAUCGUUAUUUACCUUAGAUAAAUAUUGGAUCGUGUGGCACCCCCCUCGUGGUCGUGUGGCCCCCCCUAGCGGUUGUGGCCCUAAACAACCGCAUAGAUCGUUUAUGCCACGGGCCAGCCCUGUCUUUUAAAUAAGUCUUUUAGGCAUGAAUGAGGUCCAAUCAUCAUGAUUAAAAUCAUCAUGUUUUCUUUUCAGAAUUAAAUUUCAAUCCACUGUUACUUAUUAUCAUCAUAGGACUUAUUUGUCUGUAUGUGCUGACUGUUGGAUUCUGUAUCCACAAAAAUAAAAGGUUGUCUAGAAGACUGAAGGGAGGGAGGGACGGGGACA